rnacentral:rRNA from 1 species
UGAAUACGAGAUGCUACGGCGUCGAAGCAGUCUAUGUCAUACUUCCAAGAAAAGCUUGCACUGUCAUAAACAAAUAAUGCCUGUACCAUAACCGACACAGGUGGGUAGGUAGAGUAUACUAAGGGGCGCGAGAUAACUCUCUCUAAGGAACUCGGCAAAAUGACUCCGUAACUUCGGGAGAAGGAGUGCCUUAUUUAUAAGGUUGCAAUAACAAGAUCCAAGCAACUGUUUACCAAAAACACAGGUCUCCGCUAAGUCGUAAGACGAUGUAUGGGGGCUGACGCCUGCCCAGUGCCAGAAGGUUAAAGAAGUUGGUUAGCAUCCGCGAAGCUGAUAACUGAAGCCCUGGUGAACGGCGGCCGUAACAAUAACGGUCCUAAGGUAGCGAAAUUCCUUGUCGGGUAAGUUCCGACCCGCACGAAAGGCGUAAUGAUUUGGAUACUGUCUCGGAGAGGGGCUCGGUGAAAUAGACUUGUCUGUGAAGAUGCGGACUACCUGCACCAGGACAGAAAGACCCUAUGAAGCUUUACUGUAACCUGAAAUUGAAAUUGGACUUUACUUGCGCAGUAUAGGUGGGAGGCGUUGAGAAUAUUCUUGCGGGAUUAUUGGAGCCAUCAGUGAGAUACCACUCUUGUAAUGUUAGAUUUCUAACUUUGUAUCAUUAUCUGGUCAAAGAACAGUUUCAGGCGGGCAGUUUGACUGGGGCGGUCGCCUCCUAAACGGUAACGGAGGCGCACAAAGGUUUCCUCUGAACGGGUAGAAAUCGUAUCUAGAGUGUAAAGGCAUAAGGAAGCUUGACUGUGAGACCUACAAGUCGAGCAGGGACGAAAGUCGGUCUUAGUGAUCUGACGGUGCUGAGUGGAAAGGCCGUCACUCAACGGAUAAAAGUUACUCUAGGAUAACAGGCUGAUCUCCCCCAAGAGUUCACAUCGACGGGGAGGUUUGGCACCUCGAUGUCGGCUCAUCGCAUCCUGGGGCGGUAGUACGUCCCAAGGGUUGGGCUGUUCGCCCAUGAAAGCGGUACGCGAGCUGGGUUCAGAACGUCGUGAGACAGUUCGGUCCAUAUCCGGUGUAGGCGUUAGAAUAUUGAGAGGAGCCUUCUUUAGUACGAGAGGACCGAGAAGGACAUACCUCUGGUGUACCAGUUAUCGUGCCAACGGUAAACGCUGGGUAGCUAUGUGUGGAGUGGAUAACCGCUGAAAGCAUCUAAGUGGGAAGCCCACCUCAAGAUGAUUGCUCUCACAGGGUUAACCUGGUAAGGUCACGGGAAGACCACCCGUUGAUAGGCACUCGGUGGAAGUCCAGCAAUGGAUGAAGCCAAGGUGUACUAACAGAC